rnacentral:rRNA from 1 species
GUGUCAGCCGCCGCGGUAAAACGUAGGAGCCAAGCGUUAUCCGAAUUUACUGGGCGUAAAGCGCGUGCAGGCGGUUGGGUAAGUUGGCUGUGAAAUCUCCCGGCUCAACUGGGAGGGGACGGUCAAGACUGCCCGACUGGAGGCAGGUAGAGGGAGGUGGAAUUCCCGGUGUAGUGGUGAAAUGCGUAGAUAUCGGGAGGAACACCAGUGGCGAAGGCGGCCUCCUGGACCUGACCUGACGCUCAGACGCGAAAGCUAGGGGAGCAAACGGGAUUAGAUACCCGCGUAGUCC